UACAGAGACUGCAAGCGUUAUUCGGAUUCACUGGGCGUAAAGGGUGCGUAGGCGGUUUGUUAAGUCUGUUGUGAAAUCCCCGGGCUCAACCUGGGAAUGGCAAUGGAUACUGGCAAGCUAGAGUGUGUCAGAGGAUGGUGGAAUUCCCGGUGUAGCGGUGAAAUGCGUAGAGAUCGGGAGGAACAUCAGUGGCGAAGGCGGCCAUCUGGGACAACACUGACGCUGAAGCACGAAAGCGUGGGGAGCAAACAGG
rnacentral:rRNA from 1 species